CGUAUCUAUACUUUUUCACAUAGGAAGUAUAUGGAAAACGAGAUACCAUAUUCGUCCAUUCCUGGAAUCUUCAGAAAACAUGACUGCCGACAGGUCAGCGCUCCUGGUCGUCCUACUCUUCACUUUUGCUUGCACUUUACUUCGGCAGAGAGCUAGUGCGAACAAUGGUGGCAAUGUGACAUGUCCGGAGGGACCAGUUUAUAUAAAUUUAACGUGCACCUAUAGAUACCGCGUUUCUAAUCACAGUAUGACCUGUCGGAGACCUGACAAUUCCUCGUGCACUAAAAGAAAACCCGGCAAGCAGAAAAAUGGAAAGUGCUUAGGAGGGAGGUGCCAAGUUAAUAAUCGGUCAUCGUCAAAGAAGCCUCUUAAAUGAA